GACGAGGGGUCCUAGCGUUGUCCGGAUCACUGGGCGUAAAGCGUGCGUAGGUGGUUUGUUAAGUCUGAUGUGAAAGCCCUGGGCUCAACCUGGGAAUUGCAUUGGAUACUGGCAGGCUAGAGUGCGGUAGAGGAUGGCGGAAUUCCCGGUGUAGCAGUGAAAUGGCGUAGAGAUGGGAGGAACAUCUGUGGCGAAGGCGGGCCCAUCUG
rnacentral:rRNA from 1 species